CCUACGGGGGGCUGCAGUCGAGAAUCUUGGGCAAUGCACGAAAGUGUGACCCAGCGACGCCGCGUGGAGGAUGAAGGCCCUUUGGGUUGUAAACUCCUUUUAUGAGGAAAGAACGGGCUUUGCCCUUGACGGUACCUCAUGAAUAAGCCACGGCUAACUACGUGCCAGCAGCCGCGGUAAUACGUAGGUGGCAAGCGUUGUCCGGAUUUACUGGGCGUAAAGCGUAUGCAGGCGGAACGUUAAGUAGGAAGUGAAAGGUUGGAGCUCAACUCUAACACUGCUCCCUAUACUGGCGAUCUGGAGUGGCGGAGAGGAAGACGGAACUGUACGUGUAGCGGUGAAAUGCGUUGAUAUGUGCAGGAACACCAAUGGCGAAAGCAGUCUUCUGGACGCAAACUGACGCUGAGAUACGAAAGCCAAGGUAGCAAACAGGAUUAGAU
rnacentral:rRNA from 1 species